CGGGGUGUGGCUCAGUUUGGUAGAGCGCCACGUUCGGGACGUGGAGGCCGGAGGUUCGAAUCCUCUCACCCCGACCA
rnacentral:tRNA from 3 species